GACGAACGCUGGCGGCGUGCUUAACACAUGCAAGUCGAACGGUACUUAUCCGAUAGUAAUAUUGGGUAAGUAUAGUGGCGGACGGGUGAGUAACGCGUGUGUAACCUGCCUCACACUGGGGGACAACAGUUAGAAAUGACUGCUAAUACCGCAUAAGCGCACGGGACCGCAUGGUCCAGUGUGAAAAACUCCGGGGGUGUGAGAUGGACCCGCGUUUGAUUAGCUAGUUGGCGGGGUAACGGCCUACCAAGGCGACGAUCAAUAGCCGACCUGAGAGGGUGACGGGCCACAUUGGGACUGAGACACGGCCGAAACUCCUACGUGAGGCAGCAGUGGGGAAUAUUGCACAAUGGGGUAAACCCUGAUGCAGCGACGCCGCGUGAGUGAAGAAGUAUUUCGGUAUGUAAAGCUCUAUCAGCAGGGAAGAAAAUGACGGUACCUGACUAAGAAGCCCCGGCUAACUACGUGCCAGCCGCCGCCGUAA
rnacentral:rRNA from 1 species